rnacentral:rRNA from 1 species
CAACACCUCAAGUGGUCAGGAUGAUUAUUGGGCCUAAAGCAUCCGUAGCCGGCGCUGUAAGUUUUCGGUUAAAUCUGUACGCUCAACGUACAGGCUGCCGGGAAUACUGCAGCGCUAGGGAGUGGGAGAGGUAGACGGUACUCGGUAGGAAGGGGUAAAAUCCUUUGAUCUAUUGAUGACCACCUGUGGCGAAGGCGGUCUACCAGAACACGUCCGACGGUGAGGGAUGAAAGCUGGGGGAGCAAACCGGAUUAGAUACCCGUGUAGUCC